AGCCGGCCGUCUAAGUUUUCGGUUAAAUCUAUGCGCUUAACGUAUAGGCCGCCGAAAAUACUGGACAGCUAGGGGGUGGGAGAGGUACACGGUACUCAAUAGGAAGGGGUAAAAUCCUUUGAUCUAUUGAUGACCACCUGUGGCGAAGGCGGUGUACCAGAACACGUUCGACGGUGAGGGAUGAAAGCUGGGGGAGCAAACCGGAUUAGAUACCCGGGUAGUCCCAGCUGUAAACGAUGCAGACUCGGUGAUGCAUUGGCUUGUGGCCAAUGCAGUGCCGCAGGGAAGCCGUUAAGUCUGCCGCCUGGGAAGUACGUACGCAAGUAUGAAACUUAAAGGAAUUGGCGGGGGAGCACCACAAGGGGUGAAGCCUGCGGUUCAAUUGGAGUCAACGCCAGAAACCUUACCCGGGGCGACAGCAGAAUGAAGGUCAAGCUGAAGACUUUACCAGACAAGCUGAGAGGUGGUGCAUGGCCGUCGCCAGCUCGUGCCGUGAGAUGUCCUGUUAAGUCAGGUAACGAGCGAGACCCCUGCGUCUAGUUGCUACCAUUACUCUCUGGAGUAGUGGAGCGAAUUAGACGGACCGCCACAGUUAAUGUGGAGGAAGGAAGGGGCCACGGCAGGUCAGUAUGCCCCGAAACCCUGGGGCCACACGCGGGCUGCAAUGGUAUUGACAAUGUGUUCCGAAUCCGAAAGGAGGAGGCAAUCAUCAAACGAUACCUCAGUUAUGACUGAGGGCUGUAACUCGCCCUCACGAAUAUGGAA
rnacentral:rRNA from 1 species